UACGUAGGCAGCGAGCGUUGUUCGGAGUUACUGGGCGUAAAGGGUGUGUAGGCGGUUGUUUAAGUUUGGUGUGAAAUCUCCCGGCUCAACUGGGAGGGUGCGCCGAAUACUGAAUGACUUGGAGUGCGGGAGAGGUGAGUGGAAUUCCUGGUGUAGCGGUGAAAUGCGUAGAUAUCUGGAGGAACACCGGUGGCGAAGGCGGCAUCCUGGACCAACACUGACACUGAGGAGCGAAAGCCAGGGGAGCAAACGGG
rnacentral:rRNA from 1 species